GCAUCUAACCAGAGAUGAUAAAAAAAAAAAAAAAAAAAAAAAAAAAAAAAAAAAAUGAAGUGUCAUCUUCAUAUCAUCUCAAGCACAAGUUACACAGCUAUGUAGCUAUUGCAACACUGUUUUUUUUUCACAUGUUGAGAUGGUUCAUUUUAGUUUUCAUUAUUGCAGGUGCAAUAUUAUUUUGCUUGAUCAUCACAUCCGACACUGAUCAUCACAUUCAGGCUACGUGUACAUCCUAAAGGUCACACCAUGCGCGCUUAAUUACGACGACGUCAAUGCCACCAGAUAAUUAAUUCAGCAACGACGCCACCUAGCGGGCACAGAGGCGCAACGCAAGUUUCUAGAAGGUACCAAGAGGCGUUUCGAACUCUCUGGCAGUUUCCAUGGGGAUCGAAAGCUCCUCCUCUGAGCUGCCCGAGGAGGAUCUGUGAAUGAACGAACGUCCUGUACCGCUCUGCCCACAGUCACGGCGGCGGCGGACGAGGGGACCUGAGCUCAGCAACGUGCCUCACUACAAUCCCACACAGAUUCACGAGGACGCAUCAACUCAAUCAAACCACGUCCUGUCACUGGACAAUGAAUGAGCCAUGUGGCACUGAAGCCGCUGUCUGGCGUCCUCAUGGAGGGCAGAGGUGCUCUGUACUUACCUUGGAUAUAUUGAGGACGGUCGUUAAAGGUUUAUCUGAGCUCGUCGUCUUCUCCUGAAGAGCUUCAACUGUGAGCUUCGCUGCAGCUCCUGUGGGCAGUAAGUCUC